rnacentral:rRNA from 1 species
AUUGAACGCUGGCGGCAUGCCUUACACAUGCAAGUCGAACGGUAACAGGUCUUCGGAUGCUGACGAGUGGCGAACGGGUGAGUAAUACAUCGGAACGUGCCCGAUCGUGGGGGAUAACGAAGCGAAAGCUUUGCUAAUACCGCAUAAGAUCUACGGAUGAAAGCGGGGGACCGCAAGGCCUUGCGCUCACGGAGCGGCCGAUGGCAGAUUAGGUAGUUGGGUGGAUAAAAGCUUACCAAGCCAACGAUCUGUAGCUGGUCUGAGAGGACGACCAGCCACACUGGGACUGAGACACGGACCAGACUCCGACGGGAGGCAGCAGUGGGGAAGUUUGGACAGUGGGCGCAAGCCUGAUCCAGCCAUGCCGCGUGCAGGAUGAAGGCCUUCGGGUUGUAAACUGCUUUUGUACGGAACGAAAAGGCUCUGGUUAAUACCUGGGGUCCAUGACGGUACCGUAAGAAUAAGCACCGGCUAACUACGUGCCAGCAGCCGCCGUAAUAC